CAGCUGCUGUGGGGGCAGCUCUGUCUGGUGAUUGGCAGUGGCUGGCCUCUGGACUUCUGUUGGAAUUGACGGCAGUGCUGCUGAUGAGGCCUCCAAAUUACGCCCAUUAUGCCUCAAGAGAGUUCCAGGAGUGGCGAGGCAGCUGCUGGAGGAGCAGCUCUGUCGGUUUAAUAGCAGGUUUUAUUGGCAUUAAACUUCUGCUAUUUGUCGCAAUCAGUAGACGCCGUUUAAUCCG